AUACGUAGGGGGCUAGCGUUAUCCGGAAUUACUGGGCGUAAAGGGUGCGUAGGUGGUUUCUUAAGUCAGAAGUGAAAGGCUACGGCUCAACCGUAGUAAGCUUUUGAAACUAAGAGACUUGAGUGCAGGAGAGGAGAGUAGAAUUCCUAGUGUAGCGGUGAAAUGCGUAGAUAUUAGGAGGAAUACCAGUUGCGAAGGCGGCUCGCUGGACUGUAACUGACACUGAGGCACGAAAGCGUGGGGAGCAAACAGGAUUAGAUCCCCUGGUAGUCCACGCCGUAAACGAUGAGUACUAGCUGUCGGGGGUUACCCCCCUCGGUGGCGCAGCUAACGCAUUAAGUACUCCGCCUGGGAAGUACGCUCGCAAGAGUGAAACUCAAAGGAAUUGACGGGG
rnacentral:rRNA from 1 species